rnacentral:rRNA from 1 species
AACGAACGCUGGCGGCAGGCCUAACACAUGCAAGUCGAGCGAGGACUUCGGUCCUAGCGGCGGACGGGUGAGUAACGCGUGGGAACGUGCCCUUUGCUUCGGAAUAGCCCUGGGAAACUGGGAGUAAUACCGGAUGAGCCCUUUGGGGGAAAGAUUUAUCGGCGAAGGAUCGGCCCGCGUUGGAUUAGGUAGUUGGUGGGGUAAUGGCCUACCAAGCCGACGAUCCAUAGCUGGUUUGAGAGGAUGAUCAGCCACACUGGGACUGAGACACGGCCCAGACUCCUACGGGAGGCAGCAGUGGGGAAUCUUAGACAAUGGGGGAAACCCUGAUCUAGCCAUGCCGCGUGAGCGAUGAAGGCCUUAGGGUUGUAAAGCUCUUUCAGCUGGGAAGAUAAUGACGGUACCAGCAGAAGAAGCCCCGGCGAACUCCGU